rnacentral:rRNA from 1 species
UACGUAGGGGGCAAGCGUUGUCCGGAAUCAUUGGGCGUAAAGCGCGUGUAGGCGGCCAGGUAAGUCCGUUCUGAAAGCCCGGGGCUCAACCCCGGGAGGCGGAUGGAUACUGCUUGGCUCGAGUCCGGAAGAGGUGAGUGGAAUUCCCGGUGUAGCGGUGAAAUGCGCAGAUAUCGGGAGGAACACCAAUGGCGAAGGCAGCUCACUGGGACGGUACUGACGCUGAGACGCGAAAGCGUGGGGAGCA